AGUUCUGCCAAGGAAAGAGAAAAUACCUUUUAAUCCCAGGGAAAGGAUUGCAAUCACCACAUUAUAAGAUCCCUGAACUUCAGAGAGUAUUGCCAUUUGGAUUCAUGGAGUUGGCGAACUGCUACACUGCUACCUUGUAGAACUAUGGGGGUAUGAAACAAGGCUGAAGGCUUUUAACCAUGGGAGAAAAAGGUGUUGGUAUUAUUCAUAUAGCAUAACCUGAGGUUGGAGAGGACCACUUGGGAGCCUGUAACCAAAACUAGAAGGUAACUUCUGGGAUGGACGGAGGUUCCCUUGAAGCAGUGCCAACCUAAAUCUACCUCAG
rnacentral:lncRNA from 1 species